rnacentral:rRNA from 1 species
GACGAACCGUGCUAACGUUAUUCGGAAUCACUGGGCUUAAAGCGCGUGUAGGCGGAUUGGCACGUCGGUUGUUGAAAGCCCCCGGCUCAACCGGGCAAUUGGCACCGAUACGGGCAGUCUGGAGGGAGGUGGGGGGAGGCGGAACUUCCGGUGGAGCGGUGAAAUGCGUUGAGAUCGGAAGGACCGCCCGUGGCGAAAGCGCGCUCCUGGACCACACCUGACGCGGAGACGCGAAAGCUGGGGGAGCAAACGGG